rnacentral:rRNA from 1 species
UUGUAUGGUUAAGUGAAUAAGCGCACAAGGUGGAUGCCUUGGCAAUCAGAGGCGAAGAAGGACGUGCUAAUCUGCGAAAAGCUUGGAUGAGUCGAUAAGAGGCGUUUAAUCCAAGAUGUCCGAAUGGGGAAACCCAGUAGGUGAAGAACCUACUAUUUACUACUGAAUACAUAGGUAGUAAAGGCAAACCGGGAGAACUGAAACAUCUAAGUACCCCGAGGAAAAGAAAUCAACCGAGAUUUCGUUAGUAGCGGCGAGCGAACGCGAAAGAGCCAGUUAGUGAUAGCAAGUUUGUUAGGAGAAUGUGCUGGGAAGCACAAUCACAGAGGGUGAUAAUCCCGUAUCCGAAAACAUUCUUGUGGUACUAGGCUAACGACAAGUAGGGCGGGACACGUGAUAUCCUGUUUGAAGAUGGGGGGACCAUCCUCCAAGGCUAAAUACUCCUGAUUGACCGAUAGUGAACCAGUACUGUGAAGGAAAGGCGAAAAGAACCCCGGUGAGGGGAGUGAAAUAGAACCUGAAACCUUGUGCGUACAAGCAGUGGGAGCCCCAUCACUCAAUCGUAUUGAUGAGUGAUGAGAAAUUCACGCUUCUGCAAGCGGUUAAAAUUUUGCGUUUUUUGCAAAAUUUUCAACCUAAAAAAAAGAAGCAGUGGGAUUGAGUGAUGGGGUGACUGCGUACCUUUUGUAUAAUGGGUCAGCGACUUAUAUUUUGUAGCAAGGUUAACUGAAUAGGGGAGCCGUAGGGAAACCGAGUCUUAACUGGGCGAAUAGUUGCAAGGUAUAGACCCGAAACCCGGUGAUCUAGCCAUGGGCAGGUUGAAGAUUGGGUAACACUAAUUGGAGGACCGAACCGACUAAUGUUGAAAAAUUAGCGGAUGACUUGUGGCUGGGGGUGAAAGGCCAAUCAAACCGGGAGAUAGCUGGUUCUCCCCGAAAUCUAUUUAGGUAGAGCCUUAUG